rnacentral:rRNA from 1 species
CGCCAAACAGCUAGCCCAUCACCUAAUUUCAACAACCCAAUUAACUAAACCCUAAUACACCUAAAUCAACAAAACAAACCAUUUUUCCCUUCUAGUAUGUGAGACAGAAAAAUAAACCCCGGAGCAACAGAACAAGUACCGUAAGGGAACGCUGAAAGAGAAAUGAAACAACCAAUAAAGCGCAAAGAAGCAGAGACCUAAACUCGUACCUUUUGCAUCAUGAAUUAGCCAGUAAACUUUAAGCAAAGCGAUCUUUAGUUUAUAACCCCGAAACUAAGUGAGCUACUCCAAGACAGCCUAUAUAUAGGGCAAACCCGUCUCUGUCGCAAAAGAGUGGGAAGAGCUUCGAGUAGAGGUGAUAGGCCUAUCGAACUUAGUAAUAGCUGGUUUCCUGAGAAAUGAAUAAAAGUUCAGCCUAUUGGUUUUCUCUAUUCACCAACAUAAGGGUUUACCCUUAUUCAACAGUUAACAAGAAACCAAUAGAGUUAGUCAAAGGAGGUACAGCCCCUUUGAAAAAGACACAACUUUAUUAGGAGGUAAAAGAUUAAAAUCUUUAAGGUAAUAUCUUUUGGUGGGCUUAAAAGCAGCCAUCCCUGGAGAAAGCGUCACAGCUCAAAUCAUAAAUCUAACCUUCAAUUCUAAUAAUAAUCUCUUUCACCCCUAAACACUACCAGGACCUUCUAUAAAUUAUAGAAGAGAUUAUGCUAACAUGAGUAAUAAGAGGCCCAGAACCUCUCCGCACACAAGUGUAAAUUAGGACAGACAACCUACUAAACAUUAACGGUCCCAAACAAAGAGGGAAGUAUACCACAAACAAAGAACCAGAAAACCUUCUACCAAACAACCGUUAACCCCCCACUGGCGUGUUUCUAGGAAAGACUAAAAGAAAAAGAAGGAACUCGGCAAACAUAAAACCUAAGCCUCGCCUGUUUACCAAAAACACCGCCUCUUGCAUGCAAUGAAUAAGAGGUCCCGCCUGCCCUGUGACACCAGUUUAACGGCCGCGGUAUUUUAACCGUGCAAAGGUAGCGCAAUCACUUGUUUUUUAAAUGAAGACCUGUAUGAAUGGCAUAACGAGGGCUUAACUGUCUCCUUUUUCCAGUCAAUGAAAUUGAUCUCCCCGUGCAGAAGCGGGGAUAAACCCAUAAGACGAGAAGACCCUGUGGAGCUUUAGAUAAUAUGAUGGACCAUGUUAACUAAACCUUACUUAACAAGAACAAACCAAUUGGAACCCACCUUAAUAUCUUUGGUUGGGGCGACCGCGGGGCAAUAAAAAACCCCCAUGUGGAAUAAGAGAAUCUUCUCUUAUAACCAAGACUGACAAGUCUAAGCAUCAGAACAUUUGACCAAAAAUGAUCCGGCAAUGCCGAUUAACGAACCGAGUUACCCUAGGGAUAACAGCGCAAUCCUCUCCUAGAGACCCUAUCGACGAGAGGGUUUACGACCUCGAUGUUGGAUCAGGACAUCCUAAUGGCGCAGCCGUUAUUAAGGGUUCGUUUGUUCAACGAUUAAAGUCCUACGUGAUCUGAGUUCAGACCGGAGAAAUCCAGGUCAGUUUCUAUCUAUGAUGUCUCUUCCCCUAGUACGAAAGGACCGAAGAAGAAAGGCCUAUACUUAAAGCAAGCCUUACCCUUACCUAAUUGAUACCCACUCAAAUAGGUAAAAGAGGACAUCAUCCUUCCAAAGAUAAUGGCUU